rnacentral:rRNA from 1 species
AGCGAACGCUGGCGGCAGGCCUAGCACAUGCAAGUCGAACGAUCCUUCGGGAUAGUGGCGGACGGGUGAGUAACACGUGGGAACGUGCCCUUUGGUUCGGAAUAACUCAGGGAAACUUGAGCUAAUACCGGAUGUGCCCUUCGGGGGAAAGAUUUAUCGCCAUUGGAGCGGCCCGCGUUGGAUUAGCUAGUUGGUGGGGUAAAGGCCCACCAAGGCUACGAUCCAUAGCUGGUCUGAGAGGAUGAUCAGCCACACUGGGUCUGAGACACGGCCCAGACUCCUACGGGAGGCAGCAGUGGGGAAUCUUGCGCAAUGGGCGAAAGCCUGACGCAGCCAUGCCGCGUGAAUGAUGAAGGUCUUAGGAUUGUAAAAUUCUUUCACCGGGGACGAUAAUGACGGUACCCGGAGAAGAAGCCCCGGCUAACUUCGUGCCAGCCGCCGCCGUAAAAC